GUGCUUGCUUCGGCAGCACAUAUACUAAGAUUGGAAUGAUACAGAGAAGAUUAUCAUGGCCCCUGCACAAGGAUGACACACAAAUUCGUGAAGCGUUCCAUAUUUUU
rnacentral:snRNA from 1 species